rnacentral:rRNA from 1 species
UACAGAGGUCCCGAGCGUUGUUCGGAUUCAUUGGGCGUAAAGGGUGCGUAGGCGGCGGGGCAAGUCUGAUGUGAAAUCCCGGGGCUCAACCCCGGAACUGCAUUGGAUACUGCCUUGCUAGAGUACUGGAGAGGGAACUGGAAUUUACGGUGUAGCAGUGAAAUGCGUAGAGAUCGUAAGGAAGGCCAGUGGCGAAGGCGAGUUCCUGGACAGUUACUGACGCUGAGGAGCGAAAGCGUGGGGAGCGAACAGG